UUGGAAUGAGAGUAGUUUAAGGUUUGGAAAUUGAAAUCCAUAUUCAAUUGUAUUAGAUAAUUAGGGAUAAAAAGGGAAAAAAUAGCUUCUACAAGCGGUACUAUUACAAUUUUUGAACACUCAUUGAGAGAAGAAAGAACCAUAUUUCUGAAGUUUAGAUCUUGUAACUGCACUUAAUAAUUUUACCUUCAUACUUUUCCAAAAUAUGCCUGUAAUUAGGAGAUAAAAAUGAGUCUUUAAAUAUCUGCAUGGAAAAACCAUGUGUGUACCGUCUGUGUUUUUUGUAUUUCUG
rnacentral:misc_RNA from 1 species